AGCGAACGUUAGCGGCGGGCCUAACACAUGCAAGUCGAACGCGAAAGGUCUUCGGACUGAGUAGAGUGGCGCACGGGUGAGUAACACGUAGGUAAUCUACCCUUUGGCGGGGGAUAACGUUCCGAAAGGAGCGCUAAUACCGCAUAAGACCACGGCGUCCUCGGAUGUCGCGGCCAAAGCGGGCCUCUUCAUGAAAGCUCGUGCUCGGGGAUGAGCCCGCGGCCCAUCAGCUUGUUGGCGAGGUAAAAGCUCACCAAGGCAAAGACGGGUAGCUGGUCUGAGAGGAUGAACAGCCACACUGGAACUGAGACACGGUCCAGACUCCUACGGGAGGCAGCAGUGGGGAAUCUUGCGCAAUGGGCGAAAGCCUGACGCAGCGACGCCGCGUGAGCGAUGAAGGCCCUCAGGUCGUAAAGCUCUGUGGGGAGGAAAGAAUAAGGGUAGGUUAAUAUCCUGCCUGAUGACGGUACCUCCUUAGCAAGCACCGGCUAACU
rnacentral:rRNA from 1 species